AUUGAUAAUUCAGAUGAAGGAACAUGUUGUUGAACAAGGGCGAAUUGAAAGUGAAGCCUCUCACAACUAGCUUCCCAGCCAAUGAAGCCAUUGAAGUCAUCCCUAAGUUAUUUGCUGAUGUUGGGUCUGCCUUGCCAAUAUUUUAACCCGCUUAAGGGGAUUGCAGCUUUCCUCAUUUGCUGCAAGAAAUCAAUGAAAAAUCUGAUGGUUAAGGCCC
rnacentral:lncRNA from 1 species